AACGAACGCUGGCGGCAUGCCUAACACAUGCAAGUCGAACGAGACCUUCGGGUCUAGUGGCGCACGGGUGCGUAACGCGUGGGAACCUGCCCUUAGGUUCGGAAUAACUCCCCGAAAGGGGUGCUAAUACCGGAUAAUUUCUUCGGACCAAAGAUUUAUCGCCUUUGGAUGGGCCCGCGUUGGAUUAGCUAGUUGGUAGUGUAAAAGCCUACCAAGGCGACGAUCCAUAGCUGGUCUGAGAGGAUGAUCAGCCACACUGGGACUGAGACACGGCCCAGACUCCUACGGGAAGCAGCAGUGGGGAAUAUUGGACAAUGGGCGAAAGCCUGAUCCAGCAAUGCCGCGUGAGUGAUGAAGGCCUUAGGGUUGUAAAGCUCUUUUACCCGGGAUGAUAAUGACAGUACCGGGAGAAUAAGCUCCGGCUAACUCCGUG
rnacentral:rRNA from 1 species